CUACAUUCAUUGAACAAAUAUUUCCAUUAUCAGUUUAAUAUCUGAUACGUGGAUCAAUGAUCCACAUGAUAUUAAAUUAAUUUUUUUAAGGGGCAAGUCCAUCACAAUAGCUUGCUAUUGGGGCUUGCAUGUGUCAUCCUUGUGUUGCACUAUUACAAGGUUUGGCGCACCCUAC
rnacentral:snRNA from 1 species